rnacentral:rRNA from 1 species
UACGUAGGGCGCAAGCGUUGUCCGGAAUUAUUGGGCGUAAAGAGCUCGUAGGCGGCUUGUCACGUCGGGUGUGAAAGCCCGGGGCUUAACCCCGGGUCUGCAUUCGAUACGGGCUAGCUAGAGUGUGGUAGGGGAGAUCGGAAUUCCUGGUGUAGCGGUGAAAUGCGCAGAUAUCAGGAGGAACACCAAUGGCGAAGGCAGAUCUCUGGGCCGUAACUGACGCUGAGGAGCGAAAGCAUGGGGAGCGAACAGG